CCCUAUUAUUGGGAGUAAGUCAUGGAGUUAGAGAGUAAGUGAAACUGAAAACAAUCUGGAGUGGCGGUUUUUUUUAUUUUCAGAUAAAUGUGUUUUUGAAACGAAAUUGCACGACCAUCUUUCUUACUUUUGAAAGUUCAUCCUGUACACCGCCGUCUGAAGAAUUUACUAAAAGGGUUGGUUCUUUUUCUUUUCCACAAAGAAAUAAGUCAGGUUAGGUGCAGACUAUGGGUAAGAAAAAAUGCAUUUCUCUAAAAUGUUCAAGAAGAGGUUUGAAAAACUUCUUUAAGAAGAAUUUGACAGUAAAAUCCUUUUAUCAUAAGGGUUUGAAUUUAUACCAAAAAAAUGUACACAUCGCCCGUCGCUC
rnacentral:rRNA from 1 species